rnacentral:ncRNA from 1 species
UAAUAAGCGUAGGAACAGGCGGCCGGCAUUGUCGGCGCAGCUGGGCAGCGCAAGCAGCAGGUUAAACCUGCGGGACCUAU